rnacentral:rRNA from 1 species
UAGGGAAUCUUCGGCAAUGGACGAAAGUCUGACCGAGCAACGCCGCGUGUGUGAAGAAGGUUUUCGGAUCGUAAAACUCUGUUGUUAGAGAAGAACAAGGACGUUAGUAACUGAACGUCCCCUGACGGUAUCUAACCAGAAAGCCACGGCUAACUACGUGCCAGCAGCCGCGGUAAUACGUAGGUGGCAAGCGUUGUCCGGAUUUAUUGGGCGUAAAGCGAGCGCAGGCGGUUUCUUAAGUCUGAUGUGAAAGCCCCCGGCUCAACCGGGGAGGGUCAUUGGAAACUGGGAGACUUGAGUGCAGAAGAGGAGAGUGGAAUUCCAUGUGUAGCGGUGAAAUGCGUAGAUAUAGGGAGGAACACCAGUGGCGAAGGCGGCUCUCUGGUCUGUAACUGACGCUGAGGCUCGAAAGCGUGGGGAGCAAACAGG